rnacentral:rRNA from 1 species
AGACGUAGGGGGCGAGCGUUGUCCGGAAUCACUGGGCGUAAAGAGCACGUAGGCGGGAUAUUAAGUCAGGUGUGAAAGACCGUGGCUCAACCACGGGGUUGCAUUUGAAACUGAUAUUCUUGAGGGCAGGAGAGGACAGUAGAAUUCCUGGUGUAGCGGUGAAAUGCGUAGAAAUCAGGAAGAAUACCGGUGGCGAAGGCGGCCACCUGGACAGGCACUGACGCUGAGGCGCGAAAGCGUGGGGAGCAAACAGGAUUAGAUACCCUGGUAGUCCACGCCGUAAACGAUGGAUGCUAGGUGUCGGGGAGCGAUCCUCGGUGCCGGAGUUAACGCAUUAAGCAUCCCGCCUGGGGAGUACGGUCGCAAGGCUGAA